AAGCUGCAGUGUUUGUUUGUUUGUUUGAACGCGCUAAUCUCUGGUACUACUGGUCCGAUUUGAAUGAUUCUUUCAGUGUUGGGUAGUCCAUUUAUCGAGGAAGGCUAUAGGCUAUGUUUUUUUUUUCAAAAUUAGGGAUCCGUAAUAAAAUUGCUAUUUUGUAACACAAGGUGUAAAAUCGAAAACCUAUUAUUGUGUGCUCUGCAAAAACUAUUGACAAUAGAACAAAAUGAUGUACAGGCUAUAAUAUAGGCAAUAUUUUAUUACUUAUAAAACUAUCGCGUGAAUUAUACUUUAUAUGGCAAAACAACGUUUGCCGGGUCAGCUAGUACUUAUAGAUAACCAGAGACUGGAAACUUGUGCACACAGAAAGCUGUAUAUUCUUAGAAUCACCUUAAAUAAAAACUCCAAUCUAUAUAAGCUGCUAGAAAAUUUGGUAGCAAUAUUGCUAUGAAUAGAAUAAUAUUAUAUUUCAUUAUUUUUCAUAGUUACUAAAUAAGAAAAAGAAUUUAAGUGAAUGUAAAUACUUCUAUUCAUUGUCAGAGUAUUUAAAUGAUAACAGCCUGGGACUAGAAUUUUUAUUAUCUCAUUGCAAUAACACCUUGACUUACAUAAAAUUAAGGUCAGGAAAAUUCAAUGUAAGUUUUGGGUAUGUAUUUAUUUAUACAAAUUAUAUUAAGUUGUUUAUUAGAUUAGAUUUGACUAAUAUACUCUUAGCUAGAUUAUUUUUAGGUGUAAGAACCAAUGUUUGUUAUUAUAUGAUUUUUUGAUGUACAAAAUAAUAUUUAACUCGUCUCUAAUUUUUGAAUGGCCUGAGUUGUCCUGGCACAUGAAUGUUAAGCUCCUUUAUGAAAAUUUAUUGAAGGAGGUGUUACUUUGCGGAAAUCCAUAAUUAUACUAAUGAUUUAAGUUUUCUUUUGUGUUAAUUCUGCCAAUAUUUGUUUUAAACGUCUGAGUCUCAUGCCAGUUUUUGGCGAGACAACACGUCCUGAGGAUGCCUUGUGUACUUGUCGAAUUGUUUAAAAACAAAUAUUGGCAGAAUUAACACUAAAGAAAACUUAAAUCAUUUGUAUAAGCUCCUUUAUAUCAUUAUAUUUAAAUAUGAAUUAUAGUUUUUCUUCUAUAAACGACAUAAUAAUAUCUGUUAAUCUCACUAUUUUAUCAUGUUUGUUGAUAAUUUAAUAAAUGUAUUAAUACAUUGCAGCAUCAUCUUAUGACGAAUUGUAGCAUUUUAUUAUUUAUUGCUUUUUCUUGAAAAUAUUCUUGCUUCACUUUGCAUUGUUGAAAUAAAAUCCUGUAUUUAAAUAUUAUAAAGGUGAUAAGUUGAACUCUUCAUUUUUAACUCUACAAUCUACAUAGUAGGGACUUGGGCAAAUUGAAUUUAUUAAGUAUACAAUAUUAUUUUUCAAUGCACUUAGGCAAACCAUUUAAUAUUAAAAUUAUCAAAUCAGUCAUAAUAAUUUUUUUGAGAUUUCUAACUGCAAAAAUAGGGAAUUUCAUUUUUAGUAGGUAUCCAUAAUAGCAUUAGUAAGUUGUAUAGGUCACGAAAGUUAGCCCCCCAGAUUUUUUUUUUAUUACAUCGUUAGUUCGCCAUUUGUUCUUGAUUGUUCUCUAUAAACAUUUGUUUGUUCUCGAUAUAUUUAUUUAAAAAAAAAAAAAUAAUGUGCCCUUAAGUUAGCCCCCCCUAUCCCAUUUUUUAUAUUUUUUUAGCUAUACGGGUCAAUAAACCUGUUUAUGAUUGUUCAUGUAAGAAACGUGUGUUCCCAUUUGACAUUGUUUAUUUUUUAAUUAAUUAAUUAUUUUUAAUUACUUGAAUAUUUGUAUUCUAAAUACUUGCACUGCGCAUGCGUCAACUUUACGUUUAGACUUUUAGCGCGGUCUUUUUGAAAAUUAUAAUGACAAGCACAGUCAUUAAAUUGAAGUUACAGUAUAUAUUUUUACAAGUAUAUCGUCACAAACAAUUGUGAUUUAUAAGCUAAAAAUAAUUAUUAUGAAUUUUAACUAAUACAAAUCUUGUAUAUAAAUUUCUUGGAUAAAUUAUUAUCAGUCAACAAUAUUUUGAGUGUAUUUUUCAAUUUUCUUAGCGGGAAAUUACAAGAAACAUUGAUUUUCUUGUUAAAUAAAUUAAUUUUUAUGAAUUCAAAUUCGAUUAAAUUUUUUGUUCGAUUAAACAUAAACAAAAGUUUCCAAGAGGUUAACUUUGAAACAUGGACCACCAAUAAUGAUUGUUUGUAAGAAUUAUACGUCGUUAAUUAUUAAUUAGUCGAUUAAUGUAUGGCAUUGUAGUUAACGAUCGAAACAUCGUUAUUAUUUAAAAAAAAUGAUGUGGUGUCGUGGGACACCAGGUGGGAACGAAGUUCCUUCGGCUAAUGUAGAAUCGACAAAAAGAGGGAGAAAGAGAAAGGUAUUAUACACUACUCGCUUGUGUAUGCGACUGUCGCGCCUGCGCACGUCUCAUUUAACGGUUUUAUUCCACACACUUUUCCACGGAUUUUUUCUUACGGUUUUACUAUCACAUUUUUUUCAGUUCGGUCGCGCAGCAAAAUCCCUAUCCCCUCCAAGCCUGCCGUAAGGAACUUCGUUCCAAAAAUUCUGAAUCGUUUCCAAUCAAUAUCUCCCAUUGAAAAAAAGUAAUAAAUAAUGAUUAAUUUUAUAAUUCAACUAUCUUGUGGUAGAUGUUAAUUAUCGUUGUUCAAAGAAUUGUGGAACUAUUAUCAUGAUUUUUAAACAAUUAAACAUAAGUAAAUGUAUAUAGUUACUGAUUUACUAGUGAAUAAAGUUGUUUCCACACUUCUAAUACAAUUAUAGUAAAGAUAAUAUUUGAUUGAAAAUUAAUUUUUUUUUUGUUUUACUUACAGUAAAUUAAAACUAACUUAAAAGUUUUAAUUAAAAAAUUGUAGAUCCACGUGUUCCCAAGGAAACAAAAACUAUACUUUUUAUUUUUUUCACAUACUCCAAAUUCAGUUAAACCACUGAAGAGUUUCGAGUAAAAAAUCAUUAUAUAAUAUACAUAGAUAAUAAUAAAUAAUAUAUUUAUUUAAAUUUACAGUCAAACACAAUCUCACAAAAAUGUGACAAGUAAUUUGACCGCCUUGAACGCAAAGGCGACGCAUGCGCAAUGCAAGUUUUUGCAAAUUUGUAUUAAGGUAAUUAAAAAUUAUUAAUUAAACAAAAAAAAGCAAUUAAAUGUCAGAACUAACAUAAUUUAUUAAAGAACAAACGUCAAUGUGUAUUUACAAACUAAUAUUGAGAGAAAAAUAUUAAUAACUUUGAUUGCGGGGGCUAACUAAAGGGUAUGUUUUUAAAUAAACAACAAAAGAACAAACAAUUAUUUAUAGCGAACAAACUACGAACUAACGAUAUGCGAUAUUGAAAAUUCAAAAAUAGUUUUUUUUUUUUUUGGGAGCUAAGUUUGAUGAGCCAAGUUGUAUGUCAUUAUUGUAUACUAUAUUAUGAUGUGUUGCUGCGCCAUCUAGUGGUGAAUUACAGUAAAAUAUAGACAUCGAAAUAAA